CUACGGAGGGUGCGAGCGUUAAUCGGAAUUACUGGGCGUAAAGCGCGCGUAGGCGGAUAAUUAAGUCAGAUGUGAAAUCCCCGGGCUCAACCUGGAAACUGCAUUUGAUACUGAUUAACUAGAGUAUGGUAGAGGUGAGUGGAAUUUCCGGUGUAGCGGUGAAAUGCGUAGAGAUCGGAAGGAACACCAGUGGCGAAGGCGACUCACUGGGCCAUUACUGACGCUGAGGUGCGAAAGCGUGGGUAGCAAACAGGAUUAGAAACCCUAGUAGUCC
rnacentral:rRNA from 1 species